rnacentral:rRNA from 1 species
GAUGAACGCUGGCGGCAGGCCUAACACAUGCAAGUCGAGCGAGCGGCGGACGGGUGAGUAAUGUCUGGGAAACUGCCUGAUGGAGGGGGAUAACUACUGGAAACGGUGGCUAAUACCGCAUACCAUCAGAUGUGCCCAGAUGGGAUUAGCUAGUAGGUGGGGUAAUGGCUCACCUAGGCGACGAUCCCUAGCUGGUCUGAGAGGAUGACCAGCCACACUGGGACGGAGACACGGUCCAGACUCCUACGGGAGGCAGCAGUGGGGAAUAUUGCACAAUGGGCGCAAGCCUGAUGCAGCAAUGCCGCGUGUGUGAAGAAGGCCUUCGGGUUGUAAAGCACUGUCAGCGGGGAGGCGUUACUCGCAGAAGAAGCACCGGCUAACUCCGUGCCAGCAGCCGCGGUAAUAC